GACUUAGUGGUGCAGUGGUAGCACAUCCUAUCCGUUGAGGCUGGGAAGGUCGUGGGUUCGAAUCCCACCUAAGUCA